CAAGAGUUAGUUUUAUUAAAAUAUUGGUUUUGGAGACCAAAGAUAAAAGUGUUUUUUACUCUUGA
rnacentral:tRNA from 1 species